AACGAACGCUGGCGGCGUGCCUAACACAUGCAAGUCGAGCGCGAAUGGAGCAAUCCUAGUAGCGCGGCGCACGGGUGCGUAACACGUGGGUAAUCUGCCUGGGAGAUGAGGAUAACCAGUCGAAAGAUUGGCUAAUACUCGGUAAGCCCACGGGAACUUCGGUUCCUGAGGGAAAAGGUGGCCUCUGUAUACAAGCUAUCACUUCCAGAUGAGCCCGCGGCCCAUCAGCUAGUUGGCGGGGUAAUGGCUUACCAAGGCAACGACGGGUAGCUGGUCUGAGAGGACGAUCAGCCACACUGGAACUGAGACACGGUCCAGACUCCUACGGGAGGCAGCAGUGGGGAAUUUUGCGCAAUGGGCGAAAGCCUGACGCAGCAACGCCGCGUGUGUGAUGAAGGUCUUUGGAUUGUAAAGCACUUUUCGACCGGGACGAAAACCCUGAGGCUAACAUCCUCAGGCUUGACGGUACCGGGAGAAGAAGCACCGGCUAACU
rnacentral:rRNA from 1 species